GUGACUGACAGUACAGUGACAGUACAAUACGGUGACAGUACAGUACAGUGACAGUACAGUGACAGUGACAGUACAAUACGGUGAAAGUACAGUACAGUGACAGUACAGUGCAGUGACAGUACAGUGCAGUGACAGUACAGUGCAGUGACAGUAACAGUACAGUGACAGUACAAUACAGUGACAGUACAGUACAGUGACAGUACAGUACAGUGACAGUACAGUGACAGUGACAGUACAAUACGGUGACAGUACAGUGACAGUACAGUGACAGUACAGUGACAGUACAAUACAGUGACAGUACAAUACAGUGACAGUACAGUACAGUGACAGUACAGUGACGGUACAGUGACAGUACAGUACAGUACAGUGACAGUACAGUACAGUACAGUACAUUACAGUGACAGUACAGUGACAGUACAGUGGCAGUACAGUACAGUGACAGUACAGUACAGUGACAGUACAGUGACAGUACAGUACAGUGACAGUGACAGUACAGUGACAGUACAGUACAGUACAGUACAGUACAGUACAGUGACAGUACAGUACAGUGACAGUACAGUACAGUGACAGUACAGUACAGUACAGUGACAGUACAGUACAGUACAGUACAGUACAGUGACAGUACAGUACAGUGACAGUACAGUGCAGUGACAGUACAGUACAGUGACAUUACAGUACAGUGACAUUACAGUACAGUGACAGUACAGUACAGUGCAGUGACAGUACAGUGACAGUACAGUGACAGUACAGUGCAGUGACAGUACAGUACAGUACAGUGACGGUAAAAUACGGUGACAGUACAGUACAGUAACAGUACAGUGACAGUACAGUACAGUGACAGUACAGUGACAGUACAGUGACAGUACAGUACAGUGACAGUACAGUACAUUACAGUGACAGCACAGUGACAGCACAGUGACAGCACAGUGACAGAACAGUGACCGUACAGUACAGUGACAGUACAGUACAGUGACAGUACAUUACAGUGACAGGACAGUGACAGUACAGUACAGUGGCAGUACAGUACAGUGACAUGACAGUACAGUACAGUACAGUACAGUACAGUGACUGUGACAGUACAGUGACAGUGACAGUGACAGUACAGUACAGUGACAGUGACAGUAGAGUGACAGUACAGUACAGUGACAGUACAGUACAGUGACGGUACCAUAGUGACAGUACAGUACAUACAGUACAGUGACAGUGACAGUGAUAGUACAGUGACAGGACAGUACAGUACAGUGACAGUACAGUACAGUGACAGUACAGUACAGUGACAGUACCGUAGUGACAGUACAGUGACAGUGACAGUACAGCACAGUACUGUACAGUGACAGUACAGUGACAUUGCAGUACAGUGACAGUACAGUACAGUGACAGUACAGUGACAGUACAUUACAGUGACAGUACAGUGACAGUACAGUGACAGUACAGUACAGUACAGUGACAUGACAGUACAGUACAGUGUCAGUGACAGUACAGUGACAGUACAGUACAGUGACAGUGACAGUGACAGUACAGUACAGUGACAGUACAGUACAGUGACAGUACAGUGACAGUACAGUACAGUGACAGUACAGUACAGUCACAGUACAGUGACAGUACAGUGACAGUAAAGUACAGUACAGUGACAGUUGACCUGGAUGGUAUUGUGUAUAUUACACAUCUUGUCACUACCGACCGACUGACCGGCCACUGGAUAUUGUUUUCUAGUAACAGAAUAGAGACUGAGAAGAAAACACUUCCCGCACACCACCUCCUUUCAAUGUGGAUAUUUGGUUCAUAUUUGGUUUAGACAUUGAUCAAGUGAGAUUACAACCUAUAUUCACCCACUGAAAAAGACUGCCAAUAGUUAGUUGAAUGUCAAAUGUGUUGUCACUGUGCUUUCAACCAUUUUAAAGCACAGCAAAGUUCAAAUGGGAACACAAUGUCAGAUAUUUUAAUUAUUUAUACAACCAAUUCAUGUGUAAUUACUUAUCACUGUGCUUCAUCUAACUACAUUACAAGUACAUGUGCAAGUGAUUAAUACGGAUUGAGAUUCUACCAGAUUAUUACAACUGUGAAGAUCUGCACAGACCUGCGACCAUCUAUACAUGCUAUCUUGAUCACGCACGCUUUAUAUGAUUACAUAACAAGAAACAUAUAGAUACAGUCAAAUUUAAAUGUGGCCAUUGGAUGUGUUACUAAUUUUAAGGUUAAAUGUUACAUUAGUUUGUCAGAUAGCCUUAUCUUAAGACUUUUUACUGUCUUACAAAAAUAAUAUUGAAUUGUGUUCUGUUGACCAAGCAAUCAAAUAUCAACAUUUAUAGGAGAUGUAUCUACUGUUUGGAUAGCUCCGUCUGACCCACUGGCUUCAUCUUUAACUGGUAUUUUUGGUUGAGUUGGUGACAUGAAUCCAAUAUAUAAUUUGUAACUUGUCGACAAAUUAACAGGCUAUUUGUUGUAUUCAGGAAAUGAUGUUUAAUUGUGUUUGGUUGUCAACACAACCAUAUUUCAACAUCUUCUGCUUGAAUAGUUCCAUCUGUGCCACUGAGACUGUGUUGAAUCGGAUCAGCUUGUGGAAAGAAAUGUGCUGUGAAAAGUUCUGAUGUGAUUGGUCAAAAAAACUAUUAGUGAAAGACAGAUCAGAAUUGGGAUGCCUGUGUAAAUGCAAUACAAUUAGUGAAAGACAGAUCAGAAUUGGGAUGCCUGUGUAAAUGCAGCGUGUCUUAGUCUGUCUUUAGUUCCAGUUUGUAUAUAAAUGAAUAACGUCUCCACCUCACACCAUAAAUCAAAGUUUAAAGAAUAUUAGUGAAUCAAACUUGAAAUGCACUUUUAAUAACGUUUGAUUUGAUGUAGUCCGAGUCUUUAACUUAGAUUUUUGGUUGAGAUGGAGAAGUGAAUCCAACAUAUCUAUAACGGUUUUCUUGUGUCGAAGGAGAGGCGGACCAAAAAGCAGCGUGGUUAUUAUUCAUGGUUCUUUAAUAAAGAAACUAUACAUGAAUAGACUAACAAAACAAGAAAUGUGGGAAAAAACCAAAACAACCCUAUCUGGUGCAAACACAGAGACAGGAACAAUCACCCACAAACCCCAACACCAAACAGGCUACCUAAAAUAUGGUUCCCAGUCAGAGACAAUGACUAACACCUGCCUCUGAUUGAGAACCAUAUCAGGCCAAACACAGAAACAGACAAACUAGACACACAACAUAGAAUGCCCACUCAGAUCACACCCUGACCAAACAAAACAUAGAAAUAUACAAAGCAAACUAUGGUCAGGGUGUGACAAUAUCAAUCACCAAUUUGUAGACAAACUGGAAUUAAAGCCAGACUACUAAAUCAGUGGCUCAGAUGGAACUCUCCAAAUAGAAGAUACAGUUCCUUCUAAUGUUCAUGGUCACGUUGACAACUCAAUGUCAUUACAUUUGAAAUCAACCAGAGCCUGAAACCCUGGGCCUGUAGUAUAUCCAUUUUUAGUUGAAUUAUGGGUUUCAUUGAAACAAUAGUUGUUGAUGACGUUGUAAAUGCUAUAUAGGCCUUAGUAGUAUAAUUGAUGGUAUAUUCGUGAUAUAGUAUGGUCACAUUUCAACUUUUCUGUCAAACCUUACCCUUUGGAAUGACUUUUCCACCAACACUGAAUCUAUUUGGUUUUUAAUUGGAGAUGUCUGAGCAGUUUUUCUCACGAUAGCACAUUGGCAAUAGUCAGUCACAAAUAUUGUAGCUAAUCAGGGCUGGGUAUGGCUAAAUCCCUGGAUGGGAGACCAAACAGUAGCUGUAGGUUGAUCAACUAUCCAGUAGGAGGUGCUGCCCAGCCUGUUACUUUUUUCUGAUAUUGAAUAUAACAUUGAAGAUCUGAUGUUGUUUUAAAGGAACAAAUUCAACAUGUUUUAUACAAGGUUUUUCUAUGUUGAAAUUUGGUUACCUGAUGAUAUAAUUCUGUGGUUGAAAUUUCACCCUCAAAACAACAGUAAUAUUGAUACUGUAUUUUCCACAUAGAUUCCAAGUCACAAUAAGUUGACAAAUUACAUCGAAACGGUGAUUCAACCAGUUUGUGCCCAGUAGGUUUGAAACAAUGUCAAUCAAUGAUCACUGUCCUGUCUCCCCUUUCCAACCAACAUCUGUUCUAACAGCCAGAGGGAUGUGGGUCUGUUCUAACAGCCAGAUGGAUGUGGGUCUAACAGCCAGAGGGAUGUGAGUCUGUUCUAACAGCCAGAGGGAUGUGAGUCUGUUCUAACAGCCAGAGGGAUGUGGGUCUGUUCUAACAGCCAGAGGGAUGUGGGUCUGUUCUAACAGCCAGAGGGAUGUGGGUCUAACAGCCAGAGGGAUGUGGGUCUAACAGCCAGAGGGAUGUGAGUCUGUUCUAACAGCCAGAGGGAUGUGGGUCUGUUCUAACAGCCAGAGGGAUGUGAGUCUGUUCUAACGGCCAGAGAGAUGUGGGUCUAAUGGCCAGAGGGAUGUGGGUCUGUUCUAACAGCCAGAGGGAUGUGGGUCUGUUCUAACAGCCAGAGGGAUGUGGGUCUGUUCUAACAGCCAGAGGGAUGUGGGUCUGUUCUAACAGCCAGAGGGAUGUGGGUAUUUUCUAACAGCCAGAGGGAUGUGGGUCUAACAGCCAGGGGAUGUGAGUCUGUUCUAACAGCCAGAGGGAUGUGGGUCUAACAACCAGAGGGAUGUGGGUCUGUUCUAACAGCCAGAGGGAUGUGGGUCUGUUCUAACAGCCAGAGGGAUGUGGGUCUGUUCUAACAGCCAGAGGGAUGUUGGUCUGUUCUAACAGCCAGAGGGAUGUGAGUCUGUUCUAACAGCCAGAGGGAUGUGAGUCUGUUCUAACAGCCAGAGGGAUGUGAGUCUGUUCUAACAGCCAGAGGGAUGUGGGUCUGUUCUAACAGCCAGAGGGAUGUGGGUCUUUUCUAGCAGCCAGAGGGAUGUGGGUCUGUUCUAACAGCCAGAGGGAUGUGGGUCUAACAGCCAGAGGGAUGUGGGUCUGUUCUAACAGCCAGAGGGAUGUGGGUCUAACAACCAGAGGGAUGUGGGUCUGUUCUAACAGCCAGAGGGAUGUGGGUCUGUUCUAACAGCCAGAGGGAUGUGGGUCUAACAGCCAGAGGGAUGUGGGUCUGUUCUAACAGCCAGAGGGAUGUGGGUCUGUUCUAACAGCCAGAGGGAUGUGAGUCUGUUCUAACAGCCAGAGGGAUGUGAGUCUGUUCUAACAGCCAGAGGGAUGUGGGUCUGUUCUAACAGCCAGAGGGAUGUGGGUCUGUUCUAACAGCCAGAGGGAUGUGGGUCUGUUCUAACAGCCAGAGGGAUGUGAGUCUGUUCUAACAGCCAGAGGGAUGUGGGUCUAACAGCCAGAGGGAUGUGGGUCUAACAGCCAGAGGGAUGUGGGUCUGUUCUAACAGCCAGAGGGAUGUGGGUCUAACAGCCAGAGGGAUGUGGGUCUGUUCUAACAGCCAGAGGGAUGUGGGUCUAACAGCCAGAGGGAUGUGGGUCUAACAGCCAGAGGGAUGUGGGUCUGUUCUAACAGCCAGAGGGAUGUGAGUCUAACAGCCAGAGGGAUGCGAGUCUAACAACCAGAGGGAUGUGAGUCUAACAACCAGAGGGAUGUGGGUCUGUUCUAACAGCCAGAGGGAUGUGGGUCUGUUCUAACAGCCAGAGGGAUGUGGGUCUGUUCUAACAGCCAGAGGGAUGUUGGUCUGUUCUAACAGCCAGAGGGAUGUGAGUCUGUUCUAACAGCCAGAGGGAUGUGGGUCUGUUCUAACAGCCAGAGGGAUGUGAGUCUGUUCUAACAGCCAGAGGGAUGUGAGUCUGUUCUAACAGCCAGAGGGAUGUGGGUCUGUUCUAACAGCCAGAGGGAUGUGGGUCUUUUCUAGCAGCCAGAGGGAUGUGGGUCUGUUCUAACAGCCAGAGGGAUGUGGGUCUAACAGCCAGAGGGAUGUGGGUCUGUUCUAACAGCCAGAGGGAUGUGGGUCUAACAACCAGAGGGAUGUGGGUCUGUUCUAACAGCCAGAGGGAUGUGGGUCUGUUCUAACAGCCAGAGGGAUGUGGGUCUGUUCUAACAGCCAGAGGGAUGUGAGUCUGUUCUAACAGCCAGAGGGAUGUGAGUCUGUUCUAAC
ensembl:lncRNA